GAUGAAUUCCCAACCACAGAUGUGCAUUGAGAACGGGGACCACGGGCCUUUGCGGCCUCCCGCAUCUGACCGGCAGGCGCUCUAGGUGCCCCCAUCAGAGGAGCAUCUCUGCAGGAGAUGCAGCGUGAGCCCACUCCUCCUAACAGCCCCGUGAGGCAGGCUUUACGAUGAUGAGCCCCACUGUAAAGACGAAGGGACUCAAUGUAGGGAGCUCGGGUCACUUUGUUCCUCACCCUAAGGGAUUUACCGAGCAGGCAGGUCAAGAAAGACACCACAAAUCCAGAGGCUCUGAGGUAACACCCUGCACAUAAUCACGGGGAGAAAGGAGGACUUGGGGGUACCUUCAUUCAGCCGUUCAACAAACCCUGGACUCAGCGUGAGGUAACCCCCAUUCUCGGUUGGGUUCUCCCCAGGACUCCUGUGUCCCACACACCCCUGGUGCUGAUUUGCUGAUGCCCUGGAACUAUGCAGCACGUGGACAGACCGCCGUGUGAUGGUAAAUCUAACAGGCUCGGAGGAGGGGAGAACCCUGACUUGCAGUGUUUGCCCGUUUCCACGGGGCGCAUGUUCUCACCGCGGCCGAUUUCAAGCUCCCAACGUGACGGGACUGAGCGCAGUCAGGAGGAGGGCUCAGCAGCUCGUCACGUCGUUUCCGUGGAUUUCCGCGCUGCGGGUACAACAGACCUGCUGCCUACCUGGCUCUGUUUUUUGCUUGGAGAUUUCUGUGUGUCAUCUGGGCUGGUUUCCUGCGGCUCGAUUCUGUGCCAAACACGAGCCUGAUUUUGAAUGGAUGAUGUCAGGCUUGAAGGUAUUUUGGACGUUCACAACAUCCCCAAGAGCAACAAAAUAAAUCAAGUGGUAGCGGAUUAUCACCCAAAGCAAAAAAUAAAUAUCCGUGAGUCCAUACUGAUAUAAUGAUUGAAUGAAUUAACACACGGG